CACGGAGGAUGCGAGCGUUGUUCGGAAUUACUGGGCUUAAAGCGCGUGCAGGCGGAGUGCCAGGUGUCUUGUGAAAGCCCCCGGCUCAACCGGGGAACUGCUUGGCAAACCGGCACUCUUGAGGCAGGUAGAGGCGACUGGAACCUUCGGUGGAGAGGUGAAAUUCGUAGAUAUCGAAGGGAACGCCGGUGGCGAAAGCGGGUCGCUGGGCCUGUCCUGACGCUCAGACGCGAAAGCGUAGGUAGCGAACGGGAUUAGAUACCCCCGUA
rnacentral:rRNA from 1 species